rnacentral:lncRNA from 1 species
AACACUGGUGUGCUGGUUGAAGUCUUUUACCAUCUUUCUCCUGCUUCAGUGUUCGGUCCUGUGACCUGAAGUCUGGCCCUCCUGAUGUCUUCAGGGGUUCCUUGCCCUCUGCUCUCUGGUAGGGUUUGGCUGAUGGGAGGUGACAAGAAGAAACAUGCUGGAUAAACAGUAUUGCUGCUCUGAAGACAGCUUGAGUAACACUGUUCUUGGACAUUGAUGGGCUUGUCUAAUUAAGGAAUAAGGUAAGAGGAGGCAGAGAGCCUCAGAGCUGAUCUUUCAAAUCAGAAGAGCCAGUUUAUGGAAGGAGGGAUUCAGUAUGUGAAUCAGUGAGAAGCCUCCAAGGAGGAAAAGGCAAGCUGGGAGGUGAAGAAGGACACUGGGAGUACCCUAACUCUAUAUGGGAAUAUUUGCGUUUGAGCUGAAUGAUGAGCUGGCUGAGAAGCUGAAUGAUGAACCGGCUGAGGUGGGAAGGUAGUCAUUCAAGGCUGGGAGAAAAAUCGAUCUUCUGUGAGAACACAUUGAGCUAAUAUGGAAAGAGAAGCAGAGAAGACAGAUGAUAAGAACGUCUUGAUGCUGGUUGAGUCUCCUCUGCAUCCAGUCAUUCCUGAAGCCAGCUCUGAUUCUUCCCCCUCCACCACCGAAAACGAUGGAGGAAGAAAGAAGCGUGAAAUUUCAAACUCGUCAUGUUUUGAAACCUGUGAGACAUCAGAGCUAGGAGGAGAAAAUGAUUGACGUCUAAAUGAUGAGUUCCUGGAGCCAUGUGUCAAAGAGAGCCCACCGGGGAUAAUUCAUUUCUGGAUCUAGUGAUACCUCACGUCUGGGACAUAAGUGAAUAAGCAAUAGUUUAGCCAUUUGACCUAAUAUCCAGGAUUGGACAUAAUAGUAUUAUCUGGAAUUCAAAAUCAGUUACUAGUGAGACAGGCAUCCUUGGAUAAAUAAGGUGGCAAUGUCAUCUGGAAUUACACGCAGAUCUUUUUGAGCAUCUCAUUAAAAAAAAAAAAAAAUCAGGCAUUAACAAGGCUGGCAGCAGCCAAGCUGUGGACAAUACUCCAAGAGUACCUUGGCUCAGACAACCACAGUGUUAGUGAAGGAAAGGACUUAAUUUAAAUUAUCGCUACCAGUGUUCACAAACAAGUAGCCUGCAUGAUGAGUUAGUCUUCAGGGGAUAGGUUGUCUUUGGUAUGCUCUGCGUCAAAACAAAAAGUUGUAUAUAAAUCCCUUGGCAUGACUCUCCAGUUAACCAAGAUGCCACCACUUUUUUCUGCUUUAUGCCAGAUACCUUUACAUGCUUGUUACAACAUUACUGUGCCACUCAAAGGAUUUCAGUUUGCAGGUCCUGAAACUCAUUUAUUUGUUUGGCAGAUGAGAAAUCCAAAGUUCAGAAAAUUUAAUGUUGCCACCUAUUUCAGGUCAAGCAUAUACCCAAAAUGGGUCUGGAUGACUCAAUAAAACAUUUAUUCAAAUGUGGUUUUUUUUUCACCUAUUACAUGCCAGUGCCACUUUUAGUUCCUGACUUUAUAAGAUAGGCAUAAAAUCUGAAUUUCUGGAAUGUACAGUCUAGCGAGGGAAAAGCCCAGAAACGACAUGGUACAUGGUACAUGCUCAUUGGCCAUUAGCUCCCUGAACUUUCAUGCCUUAGGAAAACAAAAAAAAUUACUAUAUACCUUUUUGUUGUUGUUUUAUUAUUUUGAGUUUCGUGUCUUUGAGCUGCUAAUCA